rnacentral:rRNA from 1 species
UUCCAGACUCCUACGGGAGGCAGCAGUGAGGAAUAUUGGUCAAUGGGCGCGAGCCUGAACCAGCCAAGUCGCGUGAGGGAAGACGGUCCUAUGGAUUGUAAACCUCUUUUGUCGGGGAGCAAAAGCCGGACGUGUCCGGCUGUGAGAGUACCCGAAGAAAAAGCAUCGGCUAACUCCGUGCCAGCAGCCGCGGUAAUACGGAGGAUGCGAGCGUUAUCCGGAUUUAUUGGGUUUAAAGGGUGCGCAGGCGGAUUGUUAAGUCAGCGGUAAAAGCGGGGGGCUCAACCCCGUCCAGCCGUUGAAACUGGGGAUCUAGAGUGUGCGAGAGGUAUGCGGAAUGCGUGGUGUAGCGGUGAAAUGCAUAGAUAUCACGCAGAACCCCGAUUGCGAAGGCAGCAUACCGGUGCACAACUGACGCUCAGGCACGAAAGCGUGGGUAUCGAACAGGAUUAGAUACCCGAGUA